GACGAAGCCGUGCGAACGUUAUUCGGAAUCACUGGGCUUAAAGCGCGUGUAGGCGGGUGGGCACGUCCGACGUUGAAAAGCCCCCGGCUCGAACCGGGGAACGGGCGCGGAUACGAGACCUGGCCGUGGAGGGGCGUGAGGGGGACCGUGGAACUUCCGGUGGAGCGGUGAAAUGCAUUGAGAUCGGAAAGAACACCAACGGCGAAAGCACUCUGCUGGCCGACACUGACACUGA
rnacentral:rRNA from 1 species